ACUGACUGCUGGAACUGUGGAGUAAAAAUUAUAAAAUUGGAUAUUAAGAUCAUUUGCGGUAGAAUAUUUUAUGUCUGUGGCUGUCCCAAAACAAAUCAAUACAACUAUCUGCCCUUCAUAAGAAAGAUGCAAUCAAUGAACAGAUAAGCUUUUGAGUAUUAUUACGUUUCAACAGGUACUUUUAUUGCAAUUUGGUGAAGGAAAAACUCUUGACAUGAAAGUUAACUCAAAUUUUAAUUUUCAAUUCAUAUAUUCAAAUCAACCCUUUUUCCAAUAUUUAAUCAUUAUAUGUGCAUUUACCAGGGACAGACUUUACUAGGCUUCAUGUUAAUUGUGAAGCUGGCCUGUUUGCUCUUAACACAAGCUGUGCUUUAACUCCCAUUGUUUCUAGCAAAGACUGACAGUGUCAUCUGAUGAGUCAAGCAGAAUGACACGGCACUUCAGGCAGAUUUAGCCAGCAUUUCAACAAGUUGAGAGCUGGACUGUUGUGUUUGUUUCAGUGCCUCUCUUCAACUUCCUUGAGGAGUGUGGUGGGUUAAAACAACUCAGCACUCAUUUAAACUGUUCUAUUUCUCUCAUGUGACUGAAAAAUAAGUUAGAGAAUGAAAACCUAGGCUGUUCCCAGAGUACCAAAGAAACCGAAAGAUGCAAUAACUUUAUUUCUGAUCUACAUUAUUUACUAUAAGUAAAUACUACUAUAAGUAGUAUUUGUGCUAAAGCCACUGUUCAUGCCCAAAGGUCCAUUAGUAAGAGAGCAAAUCAAAACAAAAUGUUUGAGUUUCCCACAGAAAUUGGUCUAAGAACUAUGUCAUCAACCAGAGUAAUAUAAAAGCUUUUGGUUUGACAGGAUAUAUCACUGCCUUCCCACCUCACCGCAUGCUGGGACAUUGGGGUGUAUUUUGAUCUAGUCCCUGACGGAGUUGCAGCUCUCCAUGUCAUGCCCUCUUAGCAUUUUGCAGUUAGAAAUAGGAAAGCAACAUCUUCUGACAUCAGAAGUCAUCUCCAAUGGCUUUGUAGCUAAUUGUGACAGCGCUUACCCCACUCUGCAGUGUUCCUGAGCCAGGGAUGAACACUCAGCACUGCUGUAUCACUGAUGCCCUGUGCUACACACUCUGCUGUACGAAAAAGUCAUGACCCACUUGUACCUGCCCAGUUCUGAUACACCACUGCAGUCUGCAGAGCUCAACCAGUGGAUAUGCAGAUUUUGUCCGACAGACCUCACAAAUAAUCAUCCUUGUCUGUGCUUGAUUUCUUCUCUGCCUUCAAAAGGAACCCUACUGUAAUAGCCCUGGGUGAAUAUUAGAAUAUUCAGAGCUCAGCUACAUCUCUGACUCAACACAAUGACAUGAUAGUGAGCCACCAAGUUUUUUUGUUGCCUUCAAAUAGACAGGCACACAGACCACUUUAUAGAUUUCUGCCUUUUGGGCUAUAGCUUGGUCCCUGACUUUUGCAUAGAUUUGAUUUUCUUUUUCUUGAUAAGUUUGAAUUUAUAUGAGAAAAACAGCUGUGUUGCCUUGCGCUGCAACACAGUCCUAAAGAUUCAAUCAAUUUACACAAAUUGAGGGCACAAAUUUAGAAACUAUGAUAAAAUUGUAACAAAGUGUCAUAGGACCAAAUCCUCGCAUACUUUGGUGAUAUAAUUCCACAGACUUCAGAAAAUACUGGCUUAAGUUGAGAAUCAAUGCCUUGAUCAUGUUCUUCCACUCAGAGCAAGCGAAUGACUCACAGCAGUUAGCUUCACAAACAAAAUCACGUUUUGCAGUCACGAAUAAUUAGUGAUUAAGCUUCGGUGAUACAUUUGUUUAUCAUCUUGAUUCAAGAAUUUUAGCUAAAAUACUACUCUAUGGAGAUGAAAAUAUUUUUGCUUUUAUGGAACAUGCGAUAUGUACUUCAAGACAAUUUCAAGAGCCUGUGGUCUGAAUUGGUUCAAUGAAUUGGUCAGAAGAAGGAAAUAAAAGGACAUGUCUAAAAUGUGAGAUUUGAAAGAAUGUGAAAUUCCUGCAGCAAUUCUUAAAUUUUAUUCUUAGGUUAUUUGCCUGAUUUUCUUUAUCUAUCUCUUUUAUCUUUUCUCUCAUUUCACUUUCUUAUUCUAUUGUCAACUUUCUUUUGCAUAUGAAGGAGAAUGAUACAAAAUUUAGGGGGAAAAACUGUUACAUCAAAAAUAUUUUGAAUUGCUUUUCUAGUGGUUUAUAAUGAAAAAGAAAACAUUUCAAAAUUUUUUAUGCUUUCCAGUGUUCAGUUAAAAAACAUACUUUCUUUUUAUUCUUCUAUGUGACCAUUGUAUUCCUGGAUUUGUGGGCUCUCCUUAUCCAUGGCUGUCACUUUGUUUUUUCCCUGAUAUCCAUUUUCCUGAAAUCCUCCUGAAAAGUCUCUUAGCUUUCAGAUGAUGUGUGGCAGGUGAAUUGGUGGGGCAGAACUGCCAGAAACCUGAUGAUGGAAUUCUGAAUACAAAGUUUAAUAAGCAUGGAAAUACAAAGCUGUCAAGUGCAAUAUUUUACCAGAAUUUGUAACAUUUUAUUUUAGCACAGCAAGAUAACCAGGUGUGUAUCUUUUCCUUACAUUCACUUUUAUGCAAGAUGAGCAAAAAAAAGUGAGGUUUUUAGAAGUGGGUCUGAACAGAAGAUGGUAUCAGAUGUGCAAAUAUUUGAAAAAAAAGCAAAAUAACCAUGGCUGCAUCUAUAUUACUAAAUAAAAUAGAGCCAGGGAUCACUCUUUGGCCUUGAAGCCGAGGCACAAACUGACCAACACUGAGCCUCCCAUGGGUUCUACAUAUCACCCACCUAGGCCCAAUAUACUGUCAUUUUUAGAGCAGUUUUGUCAAUUUAGAGAUUCUGAAAUGUGAAUAGUUUGUCAUGAUUUCUAAGAUGAAGAUGGGGCAUGAGUUUCAUUGAUGCUUGGCAUGUAGGUGAAUAUAAGUAUUAAUGGGUUUAAAUUCUGAUGUUGGAAGAGCAUGGAAAGAGCUUGUUUGGGUUAUGUCUUGGUAGUGGAAACCUGUGUAAGGUAUUUUCUCUACUCAGGCCUGUGUUCCAAGACAGUGGGAGCUGGUCCUAAACUGUGUACAGAGCUUGAACAAUCAGCAAGACAUUGCUUGAGCCUGCUGGCCCUCUCUUUUUAUUCAGUAGUUGUUGUGUAGAGUGUAACACAGUCUAAAAAUACUUCCUCCCAAAAUCCAGGUGAAUUUGCUGGGGUAAAAGUUUGACCUAUCUGAUAGCACAAAACAUACUGCUAAAUGUCUUCCUGGGACUGUCCCAGGAAGAGCUUCUUCACCUAAAAAUCCACUUUCCAUUCUUCUGGGCCUACUCAGCUUUCAUUACUUCAUGGCUGUACAAAAAUCUAAUGAUGGUUUGAGGGAAUGCUACAUACCUCAGAACAGAGCACUCAGAUGUUGCUUCAUUUGCAGGGACUAUUCACUGGGAUUGAAUCUCAAGCUUUGUUCAUUUGAUACUGAACACUUUAUGAAUUGUUUUAAAUGAAUAACU